rnacentral:rRNA from 1 species
AGAGUUUGAUCCUGGCUCAGGACGAACGCUGGCGGCGCGCCUAACACAUGCAAGUCGAACGAGCGAGAGGAGGUUUACUUUCUCAAGCGAGUGGCGAACGGGUGAGUAACGCGUGAGGAACCUGCCUCAAAGAGGGGGACAACAGUUGGAAACGACUGCUAAUACCGCAUAAGCCCACGACCCGGCAUCGGGUAGAGGGAAAAGGAGCAAUCCGCUUUGAGAUGGCCUCGCGUCCGAUUAGCUAGUUGGUGAGGUAAUGGCCCACCAAGGCGACGAUCGGUAGCCGGACUGAGAGGUUGAACGGCCACAUUGGGACUGAGACACGGCCCAGACUCCUACGGGAGGCAGCAGUGGGGAAUAUUGCACAAUGGGGGAAACCCUGAUGCAGCGACGCCGCGUGGAGGAAGAAGGUCUUCGGAUUGUAAACUCCUGUUGUUGAGGAAGAUAAUGACGGUACUCAACAAGGAAGUGACGGCUAACUACGUGCCAGCAGCCGCGGUAAAACGUAGGUCACAAGCGUUGUCCGGAAUUACUGGGUGUAAAGGGAGCGCAGGCGGGAAGACAAGUUGGAAGUGAAAUCCAUGGGCUCAACCCAUGAACUGCUUUCAAAACUGUUUUUCUUGAGUAGUGCAGAGGUAGGCGGAAUUCCCGGUGUAGCGGUGGAAUGCGUAGAUAUCGGGAGGAACACCAGUGGCGAAGGCGGCCUACUGGGCACCAACUGACGCUGAGGCUCGAAAGUGUGGGUAGCAAACAGGAUUAGAUACCCUGGUAGUCCACACCGUAAAC